rnacentral:rRNA from 1 species
AGUGAACGCUGGCGGUAGGCCUAACACAUGCAAGUCGAACGGCAGCACAGUAAGAGCUUGCUCUUACGGGUGGCGAGUGGCGGACGGGUGAGGAAUACAUCGGAAUCUACUUUUUCGUGGGGGAUAACGUAGGGAAACUUACGCUAGUACCGCAUACGACCUACGGGUGAAAGCAGGGGAUCUUCGGACCUCGCGCGAUUGAAUGAGCCGAUGUCGGAUUAGCUAGUUGGCGGGGUAAAGGCCCACCAAGGCGACGAUCCGUAGCUGGUCUGAGAGGAUGAUCAGCCACACUGGAACUGAGACACGGUCCAGACUCCUACGGGAGGCAGCAGUGGGGAAUAUUGGACAAUGGGCGCAAGCCUGAUCCAGCCAUACCGCGUGGGUGAAGAAGGCCUUCGGGUUGUAAAGCCCUUUUGUUGGGAAAGAAAAGCAGCAGGUUAAUACCCCGCUGUUCUGACGGUACCCAAAGAAUAAGCACCGGCUAACUUCGUG